rnacentral:misc_RNA from 1 species
AUGUUACAAAAUUCGGCAACUAAAUUCUUUUAAAGUCAUGUAAUACACGACUUCAUAUGCUGAGGAAAUUUUAAGACACGCCAUAUGAAUUACACCACGGUAAUAAUAAUAUUUGUGAAGGAUGUGUUAUUGUUUUGUAGCCUGUUUUAUUGCUAAGAUAUCUUAGUUUGCUUGCUGGGUGUAGCUGUCUGUCAAGAAGAUGCUCAUCAGAGAUUGAGGCGAGGAAUAAAGACCAUUACUGUUCCAAAACCCUAUCCGGUUUAUGUACCGAAACCGUACCCUGUGGUCAAAACUAUUCCAGUUAAAAUUCCAUACAAAGUCACCAUAUCCAAACCCUACCCCGUAGAAGUACUCAAACCGUAUCCAGUCCCAGUGACGAAAACCGUGCAAGUUCCAGUCACCAGAACCGUCCAGGUACCUGUCAAGGUGCCGAUCCACGUACCCGUUCCUGUGAAAGUACCCGUGGCGGUACCACAACCUUACCCUAUCACCAUCGAAAACCUGAAGGUCGUGAAGGAGUCGUACCCAGUUUACGUUGGAGGUGGCGGUGGUGGCCAUUCGUCCUCCUACGUCAUCGGAAGUGCCCACGGUGACAUCAAAGUGGGAAGUGGACAUGGUUGGUGGUAGUCUAUAUGCGUUAGGUUUGGAUAAGUCUAUUUGGUUAAUUUGUUUGUUGAUUAGUAGUAAGUGAAAUCUUAAAAUCUUGAUUGGCGUAAAUUCGUUUGAGAUUGAUGUUUU